GGCUCGGUAGCUUAGUUGGUAAACCGCUCGUCUAGCAUACAAGAGUCCUGGGUUCAAGUCCCAGCCGAGCAC
rfam:Aedes aegypti strain Liverpool supercont1.572 genomic scaffold, whole genome shotgun sequence.